rnacentral:rRNA from 1 species
AGAGAAUAGAUACCCAGGUAGUCCACGCUGUAAACGAUGAGUGCUGGACGUUGGCGGGUUUACCUGCCGGUGUCGCAGCUAACGCGUUAAGCACUCCGCCUGGGGAGUACGGCCGCAAGGUUAAAACUCAAAGGAAUUGACGGGGCCCGCACAAGCGGUGGAGCAUGUGGUUUAAAUUCGACGCAACGCGCAGAACCUUACCAGCCCUUGACAUGGGCGGACGGGGUCCAGAGAUGGACUCUUUCUCGCAAGAGACCGCUACACAGGUGCUGCAUGGCUGUCGUCAGCUCGUGUCGUGAGAUGUUGGGUUAAGUCCCGCAACGAGCGCAACCUCGUCUCCAGUUGCCAUCGGGUAGAGCCGGG